ensembl:miRNA
GAGUGAAAAGUUCCGUCAACCAUCCAGCUGUUUGAGGUGAUGCAAACAAACAUCUGGUUGGUUGAGAGAAUUUUUUACUU